AGCGACUAUAAUGGAGAGACAGAAGAGGAAACAAGAAAUUGAGAAAGGACUUCAGUUCAUUCAGUCCACAUUACCCCUAAGCCAAGAAGAUUAUGAGCCUUUUUGCAGAAGCUGGUGAGAAACCUGUUUGCAGAGGGCAAUGAUUUGUUUCGAGAGAAGGAUUUCAAGCUUUCGCUGGUGCAGUAUGUGGAAGGGCUGAAUGUGGCAGACUACGCAGCCUCUGACGAGGUGACCAUCCCAAAGGAGCUUCUGUGCAAGCUGCACGUCAACCGCGCUGCCUGCUACUUCGCCAUGGGAUUGUAUGAGAAGGCACUGGAAGACAGCGAGAAGGCUUUAAGUCUGGACACGGAGAACAUCCGAGCGCAAAUGAACUGGGAAGACACAAAGAAGCAUACGAGUGCAAUAGCCGAUGCUUGCUGUCCCUCCCACAUGAUGAAAGCGUCACGCAGCUGGGACAGGAGCUUGCCCAGAAGCUGGGACUGAGGGUUCGAAAAGCGUACAAAAGACCGCAGGUAUGACUUUUUUUUUCUUAGAGUCUGU